GAUGAAGAACGUAGUGAAAUGCGAUACUUGGUGUGAAUUGCAGAAUCCCGUGAACCAUCGAGUCUUUGAACGCAAGUUGCGCCUCAAGCCAUUAGGUUGAGGGCACGUCUGCCUGGGCGUCACAUAUCGUUGCCUGAUGCCAGUUUCCUCGUGAUGGGUGACUGUGCAGGGCGAAUGAUGGCUUCCCGUGAGCAUUGUUGCCUCAUGGUUGGUUGAAAAUUGAGUCCUUGGUAGGGAGCGCCGUGAUAGAUGGUGGUUGAGUGACGAACGAGACCCAAUCAUGUGAGACCCCUACCGAAUUUGGCCUUCAUGACCCACAUGCGUCUUUGGAACGCUCAUGACGAGACCUCAGGUCAGGCGGGGCUACCCGCUGAGUUUAAGCAUAUCAUAAGCGGAGGA
rnacentral:misc_RNA from 1 species